rnacentral:tRNA from 1 species
GCGGGUGUCGUAUAACGGCUAGUACGUGACCUUGCCAAGGUUAAGACGAGGGUUCGAUUCCCUUCACCCGCU